rnacentral:rRNA from 1 species
GACGAACGCUGGCGGCGUGCCUAAUACAUGCAAGUCGAACGCAGUGGGGACGGUUUAGUAACACGUGGGUAACCUCCCAUCAGAGGGGAUAACACUUGGAAACAGGUGCUAAACCGAUACUGAUGGAUGGACCCGCGGUGCAUUAGCUAGUUGGGGAGGUAACGGCUCACCAAGGCCAAGAUGCCUAGCCGACCUGAGAGGGUGAUCAGCCCCACUGGGACUGAGACACGGCCCAGACUCCUACGGGAGGCAGCAGUGGGGAAUCUUCGGCAAUGGACGAAAGUCUGACCGAGCAACGCCGCGUGAGUGAAGAAGGUUUUCGGAUCGUAAAACUCUUUUGUUAGAGAAGCGGUAUCUAACCAGAAAGCCACGGCUAACUACGUGCCAGCAGCCGCGGUAAUUC